rnacentral:rRNA from 1 species
GAUGAACGCUGGCGGCGUGCCUAAUACAUGCAAGUCGAGCGAACGGACGAGAAGCUUGCUUUUCUGAUGUUAGCGGCGGACGGGUGAGUAACACGUGGAUAACCUACCUAUAAGACUGGGAUAACUUCGGGAAACCGGAGCUAAUACCGGAUAAUAUUUUGAACCGCAUGGUUCAAAAGUGAAAGACGGUCUUGCUGUCACAUAUAGAUGGAUCCUCGCUGCAUUAGCUAGUUGGUAAGGUAACGGCUUACCAAGGCAACGAUGCAUAGCCGACCUGAGAGGGUGAUCGGCCACACUGGAACUGAGACACGGUCCCAACUCCUACGGGAGGCAGCAGUAGGGAAUCUUCCGCAAUGGGCGAAAGCCUGACGGAGCACAGCCGCGUGAGUGAUGAAGGUCUUCGGAUCGUAAAACUCUGUUAUUAGGGAAGAACAUAUGUGUAAGUAACUGUGCACAUCUUGACGGUACCUAAUCAGAUAGCCACGGCUAACUACGUG